GUCUAUGUAAAUGUUUAAUAAUUAUAUAGUUUGAUUUUAGCUACUUUUUUAAUUAAUAUCAUUUUUUAACAUGUAGUUUUAAUUAAUUAAAGGCGAUCAGUAAUUAGUAUUAUUAGUAAUAAUUAAAAAAUUUAUAAAGAUAUGAUAAUAUUAGGAUUGGAAAAAUUUGUGCCAGCAUCCGCGGUUAGACUUAUAAUCCGAAUUAAUGAUUUUAGUUUAUAUAUAAUUUGUUUAAAAAAAAUUUAAAUUAUUCUAAGUAAAAUUUGUAAUAAAUAUUUUUAUAUUAAGUUUAUAAGAAAUUUGUAUUAUAAACUAGGAUUAGAUACCCUAUUAUAUUAAAUAAAUUAAAUUUAUUACUAAGAGAUUAAUAGUUAAGAUCUUGAAAUUUAAAAAAUUUGGCGGUAAAUUAAUUUAUCUAGAGGAAUUUGUUAUGUAAAUGAUAUUACACAAUUUAUCUUACCUUUUACAAGUUUGCCUACUGCCGUUUAGAAUAUUUUUAUUGAAUUAAUUUUCUUUAGAAAUUUUAUUUUUAAAAUCAGGUCAAAGUGCAGUUUAUUAUGAGGAUUUAAAUGAAUUACAUUUUUAGAAAAAACUACGGAUAAGGAUUUUAUAAAGAAAUUUUUGAAGGAGGAUUUAGAAGUAAAAAUUAUGAAUUAGCAAGUCUUUUUGAAUAAUUAACACUAAUUUAUGUACAUAUUGCCCGUCGCUCUCGUUGAUUAUAAAAUGAGAUAAGUCGUAACAUAGUAGGGUUACUGGAAAGUGUCCCUAGAUUGAAA
rnacentral:ncRNA from 1 species